CACGUAGGGCGCAAGCGUUGUCCGGAAUUAUUGGGCGUAAAGAGCUCGUAGGCGGUCUGUUACGUCUGCUGUGAAAACCCAGGGCUUAACCCUGGGCUUGCAGUGGAUACGGGCAGACUAGAGGCAGGUAGGGGAGAAUGGAAUUCCCGGUGUAGCGGUGAAAUGCGCAGAUAUCGGGAGGAACACCGGUGGCGAAGGCGGCUUCCUGGACCGACACUGACGCUGAGGCGCGAAAGCUAGGGGAGCAAACGGG
rnacentral:rRNA from 1 species